AUUCUUAGUAGGAAAGGUUAAAAUUUUAUGAUAUUAAGAAGACGAACCAGCGAAGGCGACUAUCCAUUACAUUACUGACACUGAAAUAACAAAAGUAUAGGGAGUAAAGAGGAUUAGACUACCCUCGUAAUCUAUACCGUGACCUAUGAGUAUUAGAAAUUGGGAUAUUAAUUCUAUUUUCCAGCUAACGCGUAAAUACUCCGCCUGGGGACUAAGGUCGCAAGAUUAAAACUCAAAGAAAUUGACGGAGAUUUGACCAAGUAGUGGAGCAUGUGGUUUAAUCCGAUAGUCCGCGUAAAAUCUUACCAAUUCUAGUUUAUAUGUUUUAAUAUAUAAAUAUAUUAAAUUAAAUUUAAAUUAAUUUUAGUAAUUAAUUAAAUAACAUAUAAUCAGGUGUUGCAUGGCUGUCGUCAGUUCGUGUUGUGAAAUAUUUGAUUAAUUUCAAAAAACGGGC
rnacentral:rRNA from 1 species